CCGUGCUCUUUAUUAACGCGUUCCCCGCUUCGUAGGCAAUUAAACAGGUUCUCCUGCGCCCCUAGGAGCUCCUGGCCGGCCAGCCAGGCGGAGGUGCACAGGGGUAAAAGAAAGAGGCUUGCCCACCUCGACUUUUGCACAGCUUGGGGCUGUUACAGGGCUUCCUCCGAAGCUGCUGCUGGCUGGAUGAGUUGCCCUGCAUUGAUUUUUGGUUCCCGAUGCUUCUGCUGGGGUUGGUGGCACGCACGGAGCGUGCUGGAGAGGUUUCACUGUGCAUGCAGGUGUCACGGGUGGGGGCAGCUGCGAAGGGCCUUCGGAUGCAGGUAGGGCAUCCCCAUGGCGGGUCUCCCUCCUCCAUUUUGAGCUGGUAAAAAUACAGUAAAAAUACGGGGGCUUUCCAGCCGGAGCUGUUCCUGCUGUGUUCGUGUCUCAGUGCAUUUCAUCCCCUGGCUCCGUGUCCCGCUCCGCAAGGGCCAUCGUGGAUCCAAGCAGCCUGACCAAGCCCAAUGGCACGUUUGGUUUAUCUGCUGUUAAUGCCCCGGGUGAAGGGGGAAGUACCACGUUAAUUAGGUUCACAGGGAAGCACCACGUUAAUUAGGUUUGCAGCCAGUGAGGAGCUUGGAGCCCAGGCACCGGGCGGGAUGUGGGGAGGGCGCUAAGAGUGAACGCGGGCGUUGGGCCUCGGGCUGAAUGAGAGUUUCACCCUUGGCUUUGGGAUCUUGUGUGUUUUUUAUUUCUUUUUGGGGGUUUUAGGGAUGCAAACAGACAUCUGGGCUUCACCUUGGGUUGUUUUUGGCUUUGUGUGCGGGCAUUUUGUCUCCUUUUGUGCCCACACCGGGCAUAUGAGCUGCAAGCAGGCAGGAGGAUGCGCUUCCAUUUCAGCUCGGACCCAAGAUGGUUUUUUUUGGGCACGUACCAAAAUCCCUGAAGUCCAGCUUGGUUGGUUAGCGUCUCUACAAGGAUCUGCUCGUGCAGCCGUUCCUGCAGGAGACAAGAAGUGCCCGGCCAGGCUCACGACCUCGGUGUGCGUGGCUGCGUGCUUUGAGCCGGCUGCAGGGGGGGGGGCUCAGCCCCUGCCCGUGUAGCGCUGCCACCCCCUCCCCUCUUCUGCUUCCUAAUUGUAUCCAGCUGCAACACUGCUAAAAGUGAGCUCAGACGGAAAAUAUUCUUGUGCAAAAAUGUUAACGCGUUUUUUGGAGGUGGAAAGCCUGUUUUGUUGUCGUUGUUGUUGUUGUUUUUUUGUUUAGGGGUGCAGCGGGGUGCUCUGGGUGGCUUCAUUUUGGUGGCAUCUGCCGCAUCCCAGCCGUGCUGGAGGCACGGUGGCACUCAGGGUGGCAGGGGUCUGGCUGGCACGUCCUGGGGAGGAGCAGAAUAGGCCCGUUGGGGUGGAAAGGACCUUCAGAAAGCUGUGGGGCAGCCCCACAGCCUGAACUUGACGCUGGCGAUUCAGGGCUGGGUUAAGUACAAUUAAUUUUGGAUGCUAAACGAAUUAAUUUGCCCUUCUCCUAACAGUCCGUACAAACAGUGCUCAGGUUACUACAAGGAUGUUUUAAAGUAAAAGGAAGAGCUUUGCCAGCUUAUCUCCUUGGUCAGAAGAAGGAUUUUGUUCUAAAGAUCAGUGACUGUUGUUGAGGUCCUGUUAUACCAUCUUGAAGACACACACCCACGCAGCUUUUUGGAUUUCUUAUAUUUUUAAAACAUUUUUGCAAUUGUUAGUGGUUUUAUUUUUUAACUGCGACUUUUUUUUCCCAUGCUACAGAAAGAUCUAGCCCUGGGUGUGACAGGCAGCACGUGCUGCCCUGCAUCCCAGCAGUGCCAGGGCUGCAGCGAGCUACGGAGACAUCCGAAGGUAAAUAAAUAUUGAUUUGGGUGCAACAGGGGGAAAAAAAAAAAGCAGCCCAAUAAGCCGUAGGGGAUGUAUCCACCUUGUGAUGGUUGGAGGCUGAAGAGGGGUUGAGGGCUUGCAGGGUCUCGUAGCCCGUGGAUUGGGCCGGAGCCUCCGUUUCUGGGGAGAAAUCUUGUAUUCUGAUCGCGCUCGCAGGGCUUCUUUUUUUGGUUUUCUGGCAUUUUUUGUUUUACUAAUUGCAAUUGUUUCACGUUCCUCUGAUCUAUUAUACUUUGUAAUAAGGCACGUAAUUCAUUAUUUAAGUGGCAGUGCUCUGAUAAUUAGACGGGUUAUUUUUGUCGGUGCUGAUUAGUUGGUAAGUACAGAUUGGAUGUUGGAAGCCGUGCUGCGCUCCCCUGGUCUUUGGGUUUUGGAGAGGGGCUGUGGCGGCCCCGUGCCUUGCAGCGGGAGGAGGGUGCUGCUAGCAAAUGGCUGCAAGAGUUUUAAAGGGUUCCGUACUUGUCCCCCCCCCAAAAAAGCUCAUGGUGCUGCAUAAGGUUAAGAUGCUGCUAGCAGAUGUAAGCUGAGGCUGGUGUAUUUACACCGCAGCAGGCGGCAUUGCACCUCCAGCAGUGGGUGCAUCAGGGGGGUCCUCGUCCCAAAUGUGGUUUUGGGAACGUUUCAGGGCGUAAACCCACUGAGUGCUAGAGCUGGCUGUGUCCUAGGGAAGCUUUGUCCCUUCACAAGUGUAAAGCCGUGUUGGUUUUUCCCCUGGAGUUAAUUGUAUUUGUAGGACAAUGUGGGCUUUGUCCCUGCGGCUGGGGGACGCUUUCUCCUCUUCCCCCUGUCCCUCGCUCGUUGUUCUGUAUUUGGGAUGCAGGAGCAGUUUGCAGGAUUAGGGCUUUUUUUACUUCGCUCUCAGACUGCUUAAUGAAGGGUGUGGUGGACGAGGUGGAGCGGGUCAAAUUCAGAGAUGUAUGGGGUGAGAUGCUCAGCGCUCCCUGCAAACCAAACCGAGCCAAGCAGUUCGCACACAUGGAAUUAAGGACGUGUUUUUGGAGUCGUAGCUCUCCGCUUUCUCCAAGAUGAUGUGAACCAUGCUGCUAGGAGAGUUUAAUUGGAGCCGAGCCAUCGCAUUAUUCGAGCGCAGAUUUCUGGAAAGAGGGAGUAAAAGGCAAUCUUUUGUGUCACUUGGUCGUCCCUUCCAAAUAAGCUACAGGGCUCUGCUCGUUUUUGUCGGAGGCUGUCGGGAUGCUCCUGGUUCAGCAGAUGGCUCCGAGCACAAACAGCCCCGGGGAUGCCUCCUGCUGCCUGUGACCCUGGGGACGGUCGGAGCUGUGUCGGAAAUGAGCAGUGAUUAGGAGAUGCCUCGCAUUUUUCUUGAGCAAAUACACGUGGAGUGGGAAAAGCCAGAGCUCUGUGUGCUUAUUGGUGCUGCGAGCGCACCUCGGGCGAGCCCCAAAAUGCUGGGAGGCUUCUGGUGCUGGGUGCUUGGAGGGCACCGCUGUUCAACGUGGCAGCGGAGGGUUUGUGUGUGUUUCCAGAGUCCCCGUGCCCGAGGAUGGGAGCUGCAGUCCUCGGGAUGCUCCCCGCUCACGUAGUGGGAUGUCUGCGAGCGACGCUGGGCUGAUCGCACGGGCUCUGGGGUGGGCCUGCGGGCUGCCAGGGAAGCAGCACGAGAGGAGGAUUUACUGCAAAGCUCUGCUCUUACUCUAGGUUUUCCCAUCUUCCUCAGUUUUUGAGGCUGAUGGGCAGUGGAAGUACAGUCGGGGCUCAGCAGCUGGGAAGAGGGGACAGGAGGGAGAAAGAAGUCCAGCAAUGUCCCCGUCCUUUGCCCGGGAUUUCCAGCUGCUUUUCCCUUGGGUUGGGGUGUUGGAGGCGGUGGGUUUUUAUGAGAACUGGCUCGUGCUUUACGCACAAUCCCACUGCUGCUAAAGGGGGGGGGUCAAAGUGUAAGUCAGUUAAGUGGCUGGAUUGCCCUGCUAUAUUUGCCACGGGAUAAUGGAAAAUUCCUGCGAGGAGCCUGCUUGAUCUGGGGCCAGAGGAAACAGGAUGAAGUCUAUUCCACUGCGAAGCGAUAGAAGAGUACGCUGCCUGCCUUCCGCUGGCUGCUGCCAAUGUUUUUAUGGGCUUGGGAUCUAAAUUUUGAGAAGAAAAGUAAACGCACGUUAUGUCAACCUGCGGUCGUGCCAGGCUUCUCGCCGUGUGUCCUGCUUCGUGCCAUCCCUUUGUACAAUUUCGGGGAUCUGCAUGCCAGGAAGGCAGCGACAGCUUCGUUUUUGGCUCCUUGGACUGAUAGGAGGAGUUGAUCGCAGCACAGGUCCCCUGCGGUCAGUGCCCUGACCCAGCAUACCAGCGCGGCCAGACCUCGGGUACCAGCGGGAGCCUUUUCGGGGAACCCUGUGUCCUCUGGCUUUCCACCCAGCUUUGAUGGGAAUUUUAAGCUUGCCGUCACGUUUUGAGGAUUUAAAGGGAAUCUUGGAAAACUAGUGCCUAGAAGUCUUUGAAAGAAACUUUUGAUAUCUCUUAGGACUGUGCCGGAGUCUGUGUUAUGAAACUAUUUUGUGCCGUAAGGCUUUGGAGGGAAGGACUGAACUUGAGUUCCUAGGCUGUUAUCGGUAGUCAAACUGCUUUGCACUUUGAUAGCCCCUUUCAUUCAAGGACCUGAAAGUACUUAAAAAAUGCUAACAAAUUGAGCUCCUUGAUAGCUCUUGAGUGCAGCUGUUUGUACAGGAAUUUGGUCCAAAGCCUAGCGAAGUCCAUGGAAAGAUGUCCGUGUCGCUACCUCUGGCGAAUCCCACCGUCUGUCUGUCCCUGCAGCUGGAACUAAUGACACAGACUUCUUCCCAUCCCAGGACCCCUCUCCAUUUCUCUGUAGGGUUUUUUCCUUGAUUUUUUUGCCUGGCUCCACUGUUGAGAAACACAUGGGGGGAGCGGCAAAGUCAUGGCAAGAUUUGGGGGCACCUGUCUCGUGUGCCACUGAGCCCUGCCUUAAGGUCGGAGAUGCAGGAGGCACCUGGGUUGGAAAUAGCCCUCCUGAGCUCUGUUACUUUGUCAUUGGAGGUUUGCCGUCGGUUUCAGCCUUUGGGAUCAAGCCUCGGAGAAGGCUGCUCCCUGUGCUUUGGACAUGGCUGUGGACAGGAGCUGCAGUGCUGGCCGUGAGAAGCUGGGGAAAGCUGCUCUUGGGUCCGGUUUGUGGCCAUCAGCCAGACUAAUAGGGGAGGGAAUUCUUCUUUCUCGUCUGUUAGGUAAAAGAUGUUAUGCUCUGGUAAAGGCACACGAGGCACUGGGAACACCUGACAUCCCUUUCCUCCUCCAGCAGUGCGAGGGGUCGUGUAGUGCCCUGAUAUCUGCCCAGCCAUGACGAGCUGUGCUCUGUGGAGUCCCGCUCCUUGUCGCCCUGCUACAUUUUCCCUUCUCCCCUACCUUACAUUAUUUGUCUUUCAGAACUAUCCGAUCUCUGCUCUGAUGAUUUUUUCCAGUGGAUAAGCCUGUUAGAGAUAAUCUGGUUUGCUGAAUUUCUCUUCCUCUAGGCGAUCUCCUUAAUAGCUGCCUAUGAGGAUUUCAUCUUGUUGGGAAACAGGAUGCAAUUCCGUAUAAAUAUUCUGUUUCUGCAUGGUUCUUCUGCUGAUUAAGGUCCGCUCUUUCUCCUAAAUAAACUGUCACAUAAAAUACUUGUGACAAGGAGGAGCUUUGGGGAUGCUUAGUUUGGUACUUCUGAGUGAGUUACCUUGGCCUGUAUGGUCAAAACCCAGCAUUGAUUUUGGGUACAUCCAUUUCAUCUUUCAGGAGCCAAAAAAAAAAAGGGGGUAGGAGGGAGAGACAUGAGGGAAAGACCUAUAAUCCUUAAUGUCCCCCGUAGCACAGAGUGCUAAGACACUGUGGGAUAUCCCCUUUUGUAUACCCAAUAGAAAAAAGGAAAAGACCAAAGGCACGUUCCUUCUCCUCUUAUCCCGUUCCCAGCCAUAUAGCAAUCAAUGGUGUCAUUUAAUUUCAGACUGUUACCCUACUUCACGUAACCUGAUACGGAUGUUUGCUGCCACUGCUCCUUUAGAAAAGCUCAUUUUCAGCUCUCUUAAAAACAAACCUACCCGUUUUUUAAUAUGUUCUGCACAGGUAUAUAUUUUUCCCCUGUCCAAAUCAGCACUGGAUGGAGGGUCAGGGCAUUACAGUUCUGUUCCUGCCAUUGCCAGUGAGUUGCUGAAUGAUCUUCAGCAAUUCAUUUGAUCUUUCUGCACCUCGUUCUCACAAAUAAGGAUGCUGCUUGCUAAAAAUAGGUGAUGGAGAAGACUUGGAGCUGCUGAGACAGAGCAAGACUGUAAAUCACUUGACAGCUCAUUUCCUUAUAGCAAAUACCUUGGUCUUAUGACUAUAUGUUUAGAUUAAGGAAGGAAUAAAAUGUAGCAGUCA